UUCGUCUUCCACAAUUUCUGCCGAGGGGGAUCGGCUGUAGCUUAUAGAUGAAUUAUAGUUGCUCUUUGCUGUCGCGCAUUCAACGGUGAUGUAUGACUCGGCGGGAGAUGGUAGGUAGAAAACAUCCACGAUGUACGGCCUGUUAAUAACAGCAAGAAUGAACGAACGGCUGCACAACGCGGUACACAGAUGCCGCUGGCGGCUAGACCCCCUUUGUGUUUUAUUACAAACGAUACGUCAGCCACGAUGUAUGGGCUGCUUUUAUCUGCGGCCUGUUAUUGAUGUGCUAAAUUGUCUGCUGUGACUCGUAAGACUGGGCAGGAUGGCUGAUAGACGUCAUUCGAGGAUAUGUUCUCAACGACAAAAAGAUUCAGCCGAUGACACCAAGGACUUUCAUUCUUUAACCAAAAUUAUAGUAAAUUUCUGGUAACGUAAAGUCUAUAUACCCAGUCGAGUAGGAGGUUGAUAAUGGUUCGAGCAAAAGAGAAACUCACGUUCUAGAAAUAACGGGUAAUAAAUCGUUUGUCACCUUUAUUUGUGUCUCGUUGUACAUGUUCCCGUUUUUCCCAAUUAUCAAGAUAAAUCUGGAUAGAAUAACAAAAAGACACCAAGCAAAAGAGAAUACGCAUUAGGUAUAAUGUACACGCUGUACAUAUCUUACAAAAUAAUGAUAAAUUGCUAUCUGUAGCGCAACGUUUAACUUUUAAGAAACUAACUGAAAUAGAUUUAUAAUCUGGUUGUGCAAAGAGAAAAAUAUAAUUAUUGCUGCAAUGACUUAUCGAAUCAUUCAAAGGAAAUAUACAUCAAAGCUACAAAAUUAUUUAGCCUGGGUAAUAAAAAAUAACACGUCAUGCACUACCCUAUUACUUUCAUUGACGUUGCAAUUUUACACGGCAACGCCAAACAAAGGAGAUUUCAAGAUUAAAUAAAUGCAAACAAACACCAAUUA